rnacentral:rRNA from 1 species
UACGGAGGAUCCAAGCGUUAUCCGGAAUUAUUGGGCGUAAAGAGCUCGUAGGCGGUCUGUCGCGUCUGCUGUGAAGACUCGGGGCUUAACCCCGGGCCUGCAGUGGGUACGGGCAGACUAGAGUGCGGUAGGGGAGACUGGAAUUCCUGGUGUAGCGGUGAAAUGCGCAGAUAUCAGGAGGAACACCGGUGGCGAAGGCGGGUCUCUGGGCCGAUACUGACGCUGAGGAGCGAAAGCGUGGGGAGCGAACAGG